GACGAACGCUGGCGGCGUGCUUAACACAUGCAAGUCGAACGAAGUGGCGAACGGGUGAGUAACGCGUAAACAACCUGCCCUUCAGAGGGGAACAACAGUUGGAAACGACUGCUAAUACCGCAUACUGAAGGAGGGGAUUGCGUCUGAUUAGCUAGUUGGAGGGGUAAAGGCCCACCAAUGCGAGGAUCAGUAGCCGGGCUGAGAGGAUGAACGGCAACAUUGGGACGGGGACACGGCCCAGACCCCUACGGGAGGCAGCAGUGGGGAAUCUUCCGAAAUGGACGAAAGUCUGACGAAGCAACGCCGCGGGAGGGAUGACGGCCUUCGGGUUGUAAAGCUCUGUUAAUCGGGACGCGGUACCGGAAUAGAAAGCCACGGCUAACUACGUGCCAGCAGCCGCGGUAAUUC
rnacentral:rRNA from 1 species